rnacentral:lncRNA from 1 species
UAGAUUAGAGUUUUCUUUGAUCUAAAUCUCUACAUUACUUAACAUUCAACGUGUAUUUUGCUAGCACUAAGGGCGAAACUAAGGGGAAAUGGAAGCUGAACGAAUUUCCAUUUGCCUAUGCGGUUUGCCCGCUCGAUUGGAGACAUGGAACGAUGAAAAGAAACCAUGGAGAAGGUUCUAUGCCUACUCUGGAUUGAAGGUAAGAUAAGAGCUAAAUUUUCUAACUUCUAUAAAUGGGUGUUGUGUUGAAGGGUAGGUUUUUGUGUUUCUACCAAGCUUUACUUGUUUUAUAUAUUUUUGUAGGACAAAAAACUGUGAUUUUUUUUUUUUUUUUUUUUUUUUUUUUUUUUUUUUAUGGUUUGAUGUGGAUUGGACUGAGCAUCAAGUACUAGAUAUUAAUUCAUUAAGAAAGAAAACGAAAGCUCUUAUAGAAGAGUGAAAUCAAGCUUUGAUACAGGCUGGUGAAGCUAUGGCACAUUGUUCGUGCAAAAACCCAGUAAAUGAAGCAAAUGGAGGUUUGCCUAGCUGAUUAUGAUAUAGUGAAAGCAGAUUUUCAUGCGUCCAAGGGAGAGAACCAAAUACUGAAAGAAGAGUUUGGGCUACUCUAUAUGGAGAUUGAUACGUUGAAAGAGCAGCUUGCGACAGUUGAAGAAAAAUUGGAAAAGCUGAAAAUAAUGAUGCUAGGGGCUGGUAUUAUUGUGUUGGGCGUUGUUGGUCAUGGUGUUUAUAGCCAUAAAUAGGUUUUUAUAUUAAGUUGUGUUGCUAGCAUAACUUUUGUAUUAUUGCUGGUUAAUGUAUCUUUUUGCUAUGUUCAAUAAAUAUGUUGGUUGUUACAUUAGUAUGGUAUGCAAUUCUUAGAAAAUACCGAUUAUAAGCAUAAAAUUUCAAGUUUAAUAUGAUAGAGAUUAUAUGUAAAUUAGGAAAAGAAACUAAAAUUUGGCCAUUAAUAAACUGUAGAUAUAUUUAUAUUGUCUCGAAAACAAGUAGAGUCUUAAGCUCCUGAUCAAGUUCUCAUAAUUGAGUUAUAUUUGAACUGCCAACAUCUAAACAAAGUAAAUGUUUGACACAAAAUAUGGACUGCCAACAUCCAAACAAAUUAAAUAUUUGACACAAAAUAUAGACUACCCGCAAAAUAUGAACCUAAUUGAUGCUAUAAACCUAAUUGAUGUUAUACACUUAAUUGAUGUUCAUGGCUUCCAAAUUGGCUUGUUUGAGCUGGCUACUUUUUUGGCUAUUUCUGCUUGGAGAUCAUUUAAUGUGGCAGCAGGACCCCCAUUCUAGUGAAUAGCUCUAGCCCAAGAUAUUGCAUUAAGAUAGUCUUUCUGUAGAAUAAUGUUGUUCAAAUUGGUACUACUCUUUGACUAGUAUACAUUUUAAGUCUGACUGUUGCUGCGUAUAGUUAAGUCUUUUUGUGCACUUUUAAAACCACCAUACAGAGGUACUGGUUUUUUGUUCAAUGUCUGCCCAUAUAGAUAUGCAUUAAUAUCAUCAAAUAUUGCAUUAAUAAAGUAAUGAAUAUGAUAGAGAGUAUCUGCAAAGUUGCAGCUCUAGUCUUGACAUUCGUAUAAUAGCCUUCACCUACAAUAUGUUUUUUUAGCCUUUUUUUACUGUACUCCUACUUCCUAGUUGUGAAUAACUUUGUUUUUCAGCAGCUUCUACAACCAUUUGAGGAGAUGGUUGUGAACAAUGCCGCAUAUAAUACUUUGAAGCAGUGAAGAAGUCAGGAGUGACACUAAACUCUUCUGCAGAUGGUUCUUGUGCAAAAAGCCUAUCAGGAUUUGCUGAAUGGUCAACUUCUUUCCCUUUAGGAUCAAAUUUUGAAGUAGAUGAAAGUUCCUUCUCUUUGUUCUUCCUUGGUUGUGAAAAUUCUCUUAAUAUAUUAGCACUGCUAUAUUCCUUUGAACUGUCAGCAACUUGUUUUUGCUUCUGUUGAGAUGAGUUCACUUUCUGCCUUUUUUGUUUUUUUCCCUACUUUCAUCUUGCAUUUUCAAAUAAGAUAGAAUAUUUCAUUAAAUUAAGAUGUAAAGAAAAUUAAGCUGAAAAGUAUAAUGCAUGUACCUGUGUAUCUACAUUCCUUUUUGGACAACACUUGAUAUUGUGUCCAGGUUCUUUGCAUAUUCCACAUGUCAUAUGAUUCUCCCUACCCUUGACAACUUUCUUGUCUUCUUUUGCUCAUCUUUAUCCUUCCUUCUAUUUUCUUU